rnacentral:lncRNA from 1 species
UUCCCAGAAUCCUCUUUGAUUCCUAGACCUGUCUAACUUGCUGUCUCAUUGGCCAAACAGUAUUUUAUCAUCCAGUAAGACAAACACAGAGAAGCACUUCCCCCAUCAUUUCUCCACUGUUAUUCACCAACAACCACUGUAUAUCCUUUAUAUCCUUUUAAUAUUUUUAGGUUUCCCAUAAUAUAUCCUUUCCUAAGUCUUUUUUUUUUUUUUUUUUUUUGUACAGGACUAUCAUCUGACCUGAACUACUACCAUCUUCAGGAGUCCAUCUGUGUCACGGGCCAUGAAGAUACAGUGCUUCUAGUGAAAAGGACGUGGUGGUCAUCGAGCAAAGAAACUAGGAGUGUUCUUUAAAUACUGAGAUCAGCGUCUACUAAAGAACCAUGGAAAAUGGAGGAAAAGAUCCAUUAGUCAGGUAAGAGUUUUGUUUUUUGUUUGUUUGUUUUUUUAGUAAAUGCAAUUUGAACCUUUGACCAAAACACAGGUAUGCUUUGUUCUCUGUAACUCCUAAAGACUCAUAGCAUUUAAUUAGAAGACAGAGAGGAGAUGAGAGAAAAGGACAGAAGGGAAAGGGAUACACAUGUACAUGAUUUAUAUUUCAUUUAAAAAAUAUUGAAAAAUAGAUCCUUCUCUCAUACAAUGCAUCCAGACCAGUUUCCC